GUCAUUACAAAGAACAAGCCUAAGAAAGAAAGGGGCGGGAGGGGGGGCUUCCUCCGAGGGAGCGGGGGCGGAGCGGGGAGAAGCUUCUCAAACUGUCGAAAAGCAGUUAAACCUCCGGCCAACGGUCCCGGCCCAUCCAACUGCUGAGGCCGCCUCGGCCGGUCCGAAAGCCUCGGAUCCGGUUCCUCAGACUCCGGCUCCUCCGACUCUGACUCCGACUCCGACUCCGACACCGACCGACGACGCAGCGCCGCGCCAGCCACGCCGUGCGCCUCCGCCGCCACGGCGAGGAAAAGGAGUCCCACCCCACCCCCACCCGGCCCGUGCUGAGCGCCCGCCCCCGGGCCGGGCGGGGCGGCCCCCGGGGGACGGAGCUCGUCCUCACGGUCCAGCCCAGCCGGCACCCACUGACCACUGACUACGUGCCAGAGCCCCUUCCCUCCCUCGGGAAGUUACAGGUCUGGGGGAAAAGCCGGGCCCACGGGUGUACGCUCCGUCCUGUCCCGCCCCGUGGGAAGCGCCGUGGUGGAAGUGCAAGGACACCUGGUCAGACCCCGAGGGGCGCAGGGUGUCGGGGACGGAGGAGGCUUUUCCAGGUAGAGGGAAGAGCUUGAACGUGACAACAGCCUGUAGGUGAGACAACAGUUAGGAGGAUAAUAAACUAACACUCUGAUCACUUCAUCUCCUAGGCCCUGUGCCACGUGCUUUCAUGAUUAAUCUUUAAUAUACACAGCAACCCUACGAGGCAGGUACUCGUUUCCAUUUUACAAAUAACGACAGAGAGGCAUAGGUUGAUUAAGAAAUUUGCCCAAAUUCCUAGGUUAACAAGUGGUGGAGACUUCACUUAUUGGAAGGUAGGGUGUUGCAGGGAAGUGUGGUCCGCGAGCAAUACACGGCGAAGCUGGAUAUGAGAAGAGCGGGAGCCUUGAAAUAAUCCAGAUGAGGAAUGAUGGGGCCUAAAUUAAGGCAGUGAUGCUAUUCAUUAGGAGGGAGGAAUGCAAAUGGAGGGCAUAAAAGUGACAAAUUGGGGAGGAGCGAUUCAGGGGUAUCGGUACAUGCCUGAGUGGGUGCGGCCACUGGCAUCGCUGGGGAACAAGAAGUCAGUCUGGGGAGGGAGCUCGUGGGUCCACUUCUGGCCAUGUUGAGUCUGAGGUGUCUGGGACAGUUGGAGAUACCCAACAGGCUCAGCGUGUAAAUCAGAAGGGGAGAGAUCAGAAGUGGAGAUAUAAAUCUGGGAGUGAUUAGCCUGAAUGAGAGCCCUUCUUUAUCUGAUGCUUACUGUGUGUAAGACAUCCUUGUAAAUGCCUUGUGUGUAGUGGUAUAUUCGCUCCUUGAAGCUUCACUCCCACCCCGCUUGGGAGGCACUGCUAUUACCCCCAUUUUGCAGAGCAGAUCAUGAAGGCACUUUAAGAGGUAAGAACAAUUUUGACACAUGGUGGGGGGGGGGGUCAGGUAAUGUCCUUCCCCAGAAAAGGGGAGAGAACUCAAAAAGUAGGACUUCAACAUUUAAAAAGAUUUCUUUUAUCCAGAAAGCAGCCAAACCCAUGGAAGGACCGUUUGCCAGGGCCUCCUUCGUAGGUAGGUGUCAACAGAGUUCUAGCCCUGCUUUUAGAUUCACCUGGAGUAAACAAGUGUCAUCCUUGAGGAUUCUUCGACUAAAAGGCCGGCGAGGGGAGAAAGCUCCUCUUCAGUAAACUCUUAAGUAAACCGAAAGGUCCUUGGAGAAGGCAGGCCUUAUUUGUCUAGGGCUUUGGGACCUACCUAAGCCAUGACAAUGGAGACUGAGGCCAAGGGCAGCUGGCAUCCUAGUAGAGAAAAAGUCAUCGGUGUAAGAAGGAUAUGAGAUAGCAAGUUAGAAUCUAGGUGCGGGGGAUAGAGGAGUCGGCUGCAAAAGAUGGUUUUAACUUUGCUGAAUCUUUCAAAUUUUUUCACAGUAAAACGUUGGGGAGAAAAAAUCCUCGUUGUUGCUCUUUGCCUUGGGCGGUCUGUGCUUUAGAGGGUCUCGCUAGACUUGAUUUCCUGUCAUGUGCUCUUUCCUAGGAGCAACGUUAAGACUAUUUUCACACUUAGCAUUGGCAUCCGCCAAGCCAGGCAGGCAUAACUUUGAGGAAAACUCUAGACACGUACGGAUUACGACCGUGAUGCAGGACAGCGAACCCACGGAAAACUCUCCAGUCCCCAGCUGCCCGCGGGCCGCCCCCGCCCCUCCCGGCCUUGCGUCCCCAACUUCCGGUAGCAACCCCAGCCACGGGAUUUCGUGGCUCCAGACGGCGCAGCGGCUGUCGGCUCCCCGCGGACGCGUCGUGACGCUGAGAGAGGGUCGGCCGCCGGGCGGCGAGGGGACCAUAGAGCUGCUCCGGAAAAAGGCGCUGCGCCCGCGGCCGCUCCUCCCGCGGGGAGGCGGAGACGCUCCCGGCCCUUUAUGAUGUGUGUUUACAUGCGCGGAGGGAUCCACCCAGCUGACAGCGGCGCCGCGCCGGUCCUUCUUUUUUUAAAGAGCCCGGCCGCGGGCGCUGAUUGGCCGGCCGGCGUGGGCGCUGAUUGGCCGGACGGCGCGGCGCUUGGGGGCGGGGCACGCGCCUCAUUGUCUGCUCAGCGGCCGCAGGGCUCCCCAGUGGCUGUGCUGCGCUCUCGGUCGGAGGUCCGGGUCUCUGGGCAGCUGGCCGCGAGGCAGGGGCGGGCCGGCGUCGCGGCCGCGUCCGGUGCCGCGGCCGGUGGGUGGCAGUCCCGGCGGCCGGAGCGUAACCGAGCCCUGUCCGGGUGCCACGUGUCCAGGAACCCCUCCUCACCCGGGACGACAUCCCGCCCCGCCGGGCUCCGUCUCCAGCCGCCGCCUGUGUGCGGCCCCGGAGCCUCGCACACGUCCCUGGGGUCUCUAUCCUCCUCCUGCCCGCUCAGCCCCCAGGCCUCCCGAACAGCCUGCCCGACCCCACCCGGCCCGGGCCCCUGGCUCUGCAUCCUGCACCCCGGGCCGGCCGCCCGGUGAUGGGGCGCCCCCGCGUUCCUUCCGGGCGCCGCAGACUCGCAAACUGGGGGGGCGACCUGGUCCCGCGCCCACCUCCGGACUGGGCUCCAGGAGUGGGGAGGCCGGCUCCCCGGCGGCCGCGAAGGGGGCGGCCCGCGCGGCACGUAGCGCACGUGGAGGGCACCUCCCGCCCCGAGGCCGCCGCCGCCUCCGGCUGCUUUCCUGGCGCGCGGGGUGGGCGUGCGUCUGCCCUCCGCGUGGCCCCCGGUCUCUGCGAGCGUCCUUUGCACAGCGCUCAUCCCUCCCCAACGCUGCUGGACCUCCUCUCUCCUCUCCUUUCCUCUAAUUUCACCGACGCACAGGCCUUUCCUUAGCCUCCUCACGAUCCAGCUCGGCCCCUCCCUCUAGUCCACUGUCGUCCUCUCCCACCCCUUUGGGGGCCCGAAUGCUUGGUGUCAGAUGUCCCCUGUGGAGACAGACCCACAGACCUUGAGAUCUCAGGAUGAGCUGCCGCCUUGGUGGUCUCCGUGUUUUGCUUUAUUUUGUGCACUCCCACGGCGUCUCUCUAUUCCUGUUCCUUUAACCAGGCAUUUGUCUUUUUCCACUGCCGUCCCUGCCCUCGUGCCGUACACAGGCAAGGGUCUCCACCGGAUUGUAAACCGCUGCAGGGAGGGAGUCACGGCCUCCAGCCCGGGACCAGACACGUGGUAGGAGCUCCACACGUUUGUUGAAGGGGAAGGGAAAUGGCCUUUAGUGUCUGUGGUUCUGUCUGGCCGAGGAUGGAGUUUUGGACCGGACAAGGAGAAGAAUCUGGUUGCCCAGGGUUGGGCCACUUUGGAGGUUCUGGACUCUGCUGGGAAAAGGUGAGAGGCAGAGAGAAGAACUCAAGUUCCUUGUUCACACUGCAGCCGCCACCGUCACCCCUAAGGAAGGUAUCUGGACUGAGGACCCCUCUCAGCAUGCUCUAGGGCCUUGGAUGGUUGGAAUGUUUGAAAUUCUCUGCAUCCAGGAUGAAAGUCUUGCAACAGGAAUAAAAGGACUUCUACACUAAUUAUAUCUGAACUUCCCAGAGCACUCCCGAAUCCACCGUGCUCGUUUGAAAUCCAGCGUUCAACCAAAUCCUGUCACAUGUCCGGCACAGGGUCUGACACAAAAUCCUAACGCUGAGUCCCUUUCUUCUCUCCGCUGGCAGGAAGGGAUGCUAUCUGCGCACCUAGAGAUACUGUGCGACCAGGAAUAGGACCACACCAGUGGCUGGGGAGUAAUUCAUAGUCUAUGGAACAUACCAACCCCGUGAAGUAGAUGGGUGAUACUGUCGCCAUUUUUCAAAUGGAGAAACUGAGACUCAGAAGAGUUUAUUAGGCAAAAUCACACAGGUAACAACAGAGCUAGGACUGGAAUGGGAACACUGGAGCCUGUGAUCUUCCCUAAACACCAAGCUGAGGAAAGAGAACAUGGAAACCCCACCCCAAAUCUGACCACCAGCUGGCCCUGCAGCUGCCAACAUGUGUCCAUUCUCUCCCCUCUAAGCCACGCUGGUUUCACACUUUCUGGACUGUCAUCUAUAAUACCUUCACUUACAUUCUAACGGAUUCACAAAACAAUACUUGCCCUUACACAGUGACGCACGUGCCGGUUGAGACUCAUGAGGUUGGCUUUGUAACCUGUUAUGGAUUCUGACCCUCAGUUGGAGAAAUGCUGCUUGGAGGUUAGUUUUUCCUGUUGUUUGCUAGCUUUCAAGAAGAUGUAGCUGCAGUAGUUUCUUCACACCCACCUUCAAACCCACCAAAGGUUUGGCCAUUGCUCCUUGCCAUGUCUUCCCUACAUCCUCCAGAACGCUGUCCACAUCACAUACAAGAUCAAUCCCUAUUGCUUAUCUCUUCAGCCUGUUUUGUACUGUUUAUCAUUCACUUGGCUGCAAUCUUCUAUUCAUUUCCCUCCUACCUCUGCCCACAGCCCUUCAACUCAAGGGGUCACUUUGUGCCCCAUCUUUUCAGGUGCCCAGUAUAAGACCAGGACCUAGCAUAGUCUUCAAGUCUCCCAAGACCUGACUUAGAGCAAAGGCCAAAGACUCAAAUGCCUUCAGGGGACAGAAAUAAAUGAGAGAAACCAGCCAGGUGGACUCUGAAGAAGAGAAUGCACGUCCGGCGACCGGGGCCAUCACUGCUCAGGCCAGGGUGGCAGCAAGUUGCAAUUUUCCAGAGAAGCCAGAAGUCUAUUUAUGCAAUCUCUCCUAAUUUUUAGAUGUUCAAUCUUCAAUCAAAUUUCUAAAAAACAGUGUGUGGCCCAACCAGACGUGCUUGUGGUCCGAGUGUGUUCUGCGUGGAGCCACCUCCCUGGAGAGGCUGGUGGGAUGAUGAGUUUGCUGACCUUCCGGGAGAACAAUGGUUACCAAGGGAGCACCAGAGAGAGAUGCUGAGGGCUAGAGGUGAGCUCCUGCCCAUCUCCCCACCUCCCUGCCGGGGCUCGAGUUCAUGCUUCUAGGCUGGAAGGAGAGCUCUACCUUGCAGCAAAGUCUGGAGCCCACACCUGGGACACACCAUGGCAACAGGCACACCCUGAUCUGCGCUGCUGCCGAGGGACCUGCCAGGGCUUGUUUAGUAUUUAUUUUCAUUUUACAUCCACUGUGCUUCAAUUAAAAAAUACCUAUUUUCCCCUCUUC